CGAAGGUCCUCUGAGGAGGAGAAACAAAGCAAGGCGUGCAUGAGCGACACGGGAGAUUAUAUGGCAAGGUCACCAGCUCUUUAUAUCCCAACUGACUCAUUCAUUCCCCAGAGACUCCUAAGGCCAAGAGUGAACGUGCAGGCACAGGGCCAAGCAUGGGGAGCGGGGGGCAGGGGGCCCAUACCCAAGCAUUCUAGCUCUACCCAAGUGGCUCUGAGCUGAGCUCCCCUGCACAGCUCUCUUCCUAACCCCAGUCCCCCAGCAGUACCCCUCUACCCCAUCUGUGCCCAUGAGAAGCGGCAUGCCCUGCGGGGGCCUGACUAGAUUUGCCACCACAGCCCCUACACCAAUCUGGCCAUGGCACAGCCAGCUCCUAUUUUCACACACAGCUUCUGGAAAGCACACCCAGGGACCCCUGAGCUACCAGGAACCCUCCACCACCACCGCACUAUGUGGCCCAGCUUGGCGCCCAGGCCCCUACCUUUGAACUUCUUCAGCAUCCCUUUUAAGACAAAGGUCUUGAGAGAAACAUUCCAGACUUUAUUCUUCAUCUCAGAAGAGACUGUGGUUGGCUUGGGGCCAGGCACAUUGCUACACCUGCAGGACAAGGGCUCUGAGAAGGGCCUGUGUGCACCAUUUUGCUCCCACAGGCUGUGACAAUUAGGAUGGCGAGGUCCUCUUGGCAGAAAGAGGUAGAAAAGGGAGAGCCAGACCUCAUGCAGAAAAACCCAUGGCCAGGCAGGUGGGCGUUUGUCUCGGAAGGUCCCCAGGCAAGCAAGUCGGGGGAUCAGGAGGUGAGAGGUCAGGGGACAGGGAAUAAAGACAAGGCUCAGUGAAAAGGGAAGAAGCAACUUAGAGAGGCCCCAGGAGCUGUGAGGUCACUCACCUGCUCAGCGUGCUUUUGAAUUCCUGGAAGGAAAGAUAGAGGAAACCAAAUCAGCAUCAGGUAACCUCCAUUCACCUCUGAGAAACAAAGCUUGCCCCUUGCUGUGCCUCCCAGAUGUAAGCAUAAGCAAGUGUGCCACGCCUCACUGCCUGCGUGGGCCUCAGGGGCAGCAGCUUCCAGUGGCUGCUGGCUGCAGGGUGUCUCACCCACGCAGUGGACCUCUCACCCUUUGCCACAACUCUUCACGUGCUUUCUUUCUAUCUUUGCUGCUUUCUUAGUUACAGAAUCAUCACUGGAGCUAUCCCAUGGGACCCAGUGCUGCGUGUGUCCUGGAAACCACCUGAGGGAGGUCACAGCCCUUAUGCACCUACUGCUCACUCAGCCCCAUAAUGACUGUUCUUAACCCAUCUAUGGAUUGUGAAGUUUAUCUAGUUGUUUAUAACUUUUUUUUUAGCGAAAUAGAAUAGAAAACAUCAAAGUGCAUACGUGUAGCAAAGCUUCCAGGCAGGCUGCAGUAGCCUGGAGCGCCUUAUGGAUAUUAACUCCCUCAACCCUGACGGCAGCCCAGUGGGGAGGGUGCACUUCCCUUCAAGUCUUACAGGUGGAGUCUCGCUCUGUCUCCCAGGCUGGAGUGCAGUGGCGCGAUCUCGGCUCACUGCAAGCUCUGCCUCCCGGGUUCACACCAUUCUCCUGCCUCAGCCUCCGGAGUAGCUGGGACUACAGGCGCCCGCCACCACGCCCGGCUAUUUUGUAUUUUUAGUAGAGACAGGGGUUUCACCGUGUUUGCCAGGACGGUCUUGAUCUCCUGACCUCGUGAUCCGCCCACCUCGGCCUCCCAAAGUGCUGGGAUUACAGGCGUGAGCCACCCUGCCAGGCCUCAUGUUUGCUUAUCUUAACCAAAAUGAGCCCUCGUUUCACUUUCCUGUUCUACCCUAAGGAAGAUAAAAUAUCAUUCCAACUUGGGGUAGAGGCAGGUGCCAGUACCCAAGACCCUGGGCUGUGCAGCAGGGGCUACUGUAAACCCAAGACCCUAAACUUCCUCCCUCUGCCAGAGCCAGGGAGCAGCUCUGACGCCCUCUAGCCCCUUCUCCGUUAGCCUCGAUUUCAAAUAAAAACACUGUGAACAUGAA
rnacentral:lncRNA from 10 species